UGAGGAAUAUUGGACAAUGGGCGAAAGCCUGAUCCAGCAACGCCGCGUGGAGGAUGAAGGUCUUCGGAUUGUAAACUCCUGUCAGGUGGGACGAAAACACUGACGGUACCACCAGAGGAAGCCCCGGCUAACUCCGUGCCAGCAGCCGCGGUAAUACGGAGGGGGCGAGCGUUAUUCGGAAUUAUUGGGCGUAAAGGGCGCGUAGGCGGCCUGACAAGUCAGGGGUGAAAUCCCUCGGCUCAACCGAGGAACUGCCUCUGAAACUGUCAGGCUUGAGGCCGGGAGAGGGUAGUGGAAUUCCCAGUGUAGCGGUGAAAUGCGUAGAUAUUGGGAGGAACACCGGUGGCGAAGGCGGCUACCUGGACCGGUUCUGACGCUGAGGCGCGAAAGUGUGGGUAGCAAACAGGAUUAGAUACCCUGGUAGUCCACACUGUAAACGAUGAGCACUCGGUGCUGCGGGUGUCGACCCCUGCAGUGCCUUAGGAAACCCGUUAAGUGCUCCGCCUGGGGAGUACGGUCGCAAGGCUG
rnacentral:rRNA from 1 species